AUUUCGAGCCACGCUACAGCAAGUGCGGUGGCCAAGGCAGGUCUCUCCAGGUCUUCAACCCUUCAGCUGAAGGCAGGACACUGCCAGGGCCAACAGGGGCCUCAGCCUCCAGAGAGACUGGGCCAGGGCCAGAGGAGGAGGAGGAAAGCCUCUUUGCAGGUGACAAGGCCACACGCAUGCCAGAGCCUUGGAGCCCCGGCUGCCCUACAAAGGCCUGGCCCAGCCUUCCCUUCAGAAGUACCCAGGACACAUGACAUGGCAAUGGCAGCAUCUCCCCAGGCACGUUCCCCAGCCCCCACCCACGGGACCAGGUUGAAAACUCUAGACUUGAAAGCUGUCCAAGACGACAAAAGAUCUGUAUGACUAACUGGAGAGUCUCAUCUUGCAAUAAUGUGCCUUUUGUUGCUGAAGUCUUUCCAACCACAAGUUCAGAAAGGACUGUUUCUACCUGAAAUCUACUCAUUUAGUGGAACAACUGUGGAAGCAGCAUCCCUGGAGAGUGUGACAGCCACAAAAUAAUUAUCUCCCU